AUUGAACGCUGGCGGCAGGCCUAACACAUGCAAGUCGAGCGAGCGGCGGACGCGUGAGUAAUGUCUGGGAAACUGCGUGAUGGAGGGGGAUAACUACAGGAAACGGUAGCUAAUAUCGCGCACCACAAGAUGUGCCCAGAUGGGAGUAGCUAGUAGGUGGGGUAAAGGCGCACCUAGGCGACGCGCCCUAGCUGGUCUGUGAGGAUGACCAGCCACACUGGAACUGAGACACGGUCCAGACUCCUACGGGAGGCAGCAGUGGGGAAUAUUGCACAAGGGGCGCAAGCCUGAUGCAGCCAUGCCGCGUGUGUGAAGAAGGCCUUCGGGUUGUAAAGCACUUUCAGCGGGGAGGCGUUACCCGCAGAAGAAGCACCGGCUAACUCCGUGCCAGCAGCCGCGGUAAUAC
rnacentral:rRNA from 1 species